rnacentral:rRNA from 1 species
UACGUAGGGUGCGAGCGUUGUCCGGAAUUAUUGGGCGUAAAGGGCUCGUAGGCGGUCUGUCGCGUCGGUAGUGAAAACUCAGGGCUUAACCCUGAGCCUGCUUCCGAUACGGGCAGACUAGAGGUAUGCAGGGGAGAAUGGAAUUCCUGGUGUAGCGGUGAAAUGCGCAGAUAUCAGGAGGAACACCAGAGGCGAAGGCGGUUCUCUGGGCAUUACCUGACGCUGAGGAGCGAAAGUGUGGGGAGCGAACAGG